rnacentral:rRNA from 1 species
GAUGAACGCUGGCGGCGUGCCUAAUACAUGCAAGUCGAGCGAACAGACGAGGAGCUUGCUCCUCUGACGUUAGCGGCGGACGGGUGAGUAACACGUGGAUAACCUACCUAUAAGACUGGGAUAACUUCGGGAAACCGGAGCUAAUACCGGAUAAUAUAUUGAACCGCAUGGUUCAAUAGUGAAAGACGGUUUUGCCGUCACUUAUAGAUGGAUCCGCGCCGCAUUAGCUAGUUGGUAAGGUAACGGCUUACCAAGGCAACGAUGCGUAGCCGACCUGAGAGGGGGUGCGCCCCCACGGGAAUGAGACACGGGCCAGACUCCCUCGGGGAGGCACAAGAGGGAAUUUUUCCGAAAGGGGCGAAAGUUUGACGGACCAACGCCGCGUGGUGGAUGAGGUUCUUGGGUUCGAAAAACUUUUUUAUGGGGAAAAAAAAAAUGUGUAAGUAAAUAUGCCCGUCUUGACGGUCCCUAAUAAAAAACCCACGGCUAACUACGUG